rnacentral:rRNA from 1 species
GACGAACGCUGGCGGCGUGCCUAAUACAUGCAAGUAGAACGCUGAAGGAGGAGCUUGCUUCUCUGGAUGAGUUGCGAACGGGUGAGUAACGCGUAGGUAACCUGCCUGUUAGCGGGGGAUAACUAUUGGAAACGAUAGCUAAUACCGCAUAAGAGUAGAUGUUGCAUGACAUUUGCUUAAAAGGUGCAAUUGCAUCACUACCAGAUGGACCUGCGUUGUAUUAGCUAGUUGGUGAGGUAACGGCUCACCAAGGCAACGAUACAUAGCCGACCUGAGAGGGUGAUCGGCCACACUGGGACUGAGACACGGCCCAGACUCCUACGGGAGGCAGCAGUAGGGAAUCUUCGGCAAUGGACGGAAGUCUGACCGAGCAACGCCGCGUGAGUGAAGAAGGUUUUCGGAUCGUAAAGCUCUGUUGUAAGAGAAGAACGAGUGUGAGAGUGGAAAGUUCACACUGUGACGGUAUCUUACCAGAAAGGGACGGCUAACUACGUG